rnacentral:lncRNA from 1 species
GAACACACAGCACACUCUGCAAAGGCUUUGCAUGUGCUUUUUGUUUCCAAGUCAAACGGAGGGAGGAGAAAAUGACUCCAAGGUGGCAAAAGAGAAGAGUCAGAAACAGAGACAGUGAAAACUUUAAAAGGAAAUGAGGAGCAAAGAGCAGGAAGAAAGAGAAGAGAAGAGAAAGCAGCCACUCAGGUGAGGUGGAAGGUGAGGGAAGAGUCUCGCCUGUUUUCAUUUUAUGUUGACCAGUGUGUCUGCUUUUGCUGCUACUCUGAAAACUGAGCUUCAGUAAUUGGUUUUUGCAGCCACAAACACAUCCAGCAAGGAAGAUGUGAGAAGCCCAGGGCUCUCUCACUCUGCUUUUUGAAAUGGCUUUUGCUGCAGAUGGGAAAUGCCAUCCCACUCCGAGUUGGCAGGUCCUGAGGUCAAACCUUACAGAGCUGGCACCUAAAAACCCCAAGGCAAGGAGGAGCAGGUGGCUUUGGAAGAGUAAAUGACCCUGAAGAUUGCUGGAAGGAGGACCUGUGACAAAUUCAAAGAACCAUCAAGGAUAUCCUGGACACAGGUAGGGGCAAUGACCCCCUUGUUCCCCUCUCAGGACUGGGAAGCAGGGACUUUUGGUGAGCUUAUAAUGCAGACAGCCUGAGAGGGGCAGUUCUUUUUAUUGCUGCCACCUAUGAGGUAAGAUGUGACCAAGUGUGCCGCCUGUUUCAGAUCCCUUGGUGUGGGUAGGUGGAGAGUGGACUGAUUCGGCUAUGGGGAAAGAAACAUGGGAUCAGCUUUAGGCAGCUUCGGAAAAGACCUAAAGGGAUCCUGCAUGUUCUGAUAUGAUCCAGAC